rnacentral:tRNA from 1 species
GCGGGUGUCGUAUAGUGGCUAUUAUACGUGCUUGCCAAGCACGAGACGGGAGUUCGAUUCUCCUCACCCGCU